rnacentral:rRNA from 1 species
UGGGGAAUAUUGCACAAUGGGCGCAAGCCUGAUGCAGCCAUGCCGCGUGUAUGAAGAAGGCCUUCGGGUUGUAAAGUACUUUCAGCGGGGAGGAAGGCGAUAGGUUAAUAACCUGUCGAUUGACUGUUAUCCCGCAGAAGAAGCACCGGCUAACUCCGUGCCAGCAGCCGCGGUAAUACGGAGGGUGCAAGCGUUAAUCGGAAUUACUGGGCGUAAAGCGCACGCAGGCGGUCUGUCAAGUCGGAUGUGAAAUCCCCGGGCUCAACCUGGGAACUGCAUUCGAAACUGGCAGGCUGGAGUCUUGUAGAGGGGGGUAGAAUUCCAGGUGUAGCGGUGAAAUGCGUAGAGAUCUGGAGGAAUACCGGUGGCGAAGGCGGCCCCCUGGACAAAGACUGACGCUCAGGUGCGAAAGCGUGGGGAGCAAACA